UGGACAAAUUAUUGUAUUCGACCGUAUUCGACUGUAUUCACGGCGUGAAAUGGGGGAUUACACUUUUUUAAAACAGAAUUGAAUCAAUUAACAUAAUAGACUUCU
rfam:Nicotiana attenuata strain TT chromosome 1, whole genome shotgun sequence.